rnacentral:lncRNA from 1 species
AUUAUAUUUCUUUGACAUGUGAAGCAUAAAAUGUGACCAUUAACUCUUCUCAAAUGUGAGCUCCAUGUGGUGAAGGACCACAUAUUAUAUGUAAGCAGGAGGAAGCCUAUUCUGUCAACAGACCUGGAUUCUGAUAUCAAUGAAAUAGUGCACAUCUUGAAAACAUUUCCACUUAUGUAAACAAGAAAGAUGAAAGUCAACAGAGUAAGAAGUUGGCACAAGGAGUUGAUUCCGUCUGCUUUGGAGGUUUUGCUUUUUGGCUUAACUGUUACAUGGUGCUAUUGUUUUUGUUCUGGUAGGUGGGACAGUGCUGCUUUAUUUAUUUUAAGAAGGCAGCAAGCCAGGAACACAUAAUUGAAAGGAAAUUUCUGUACUGGCGUAUUAUUUUUUCAACUAAGAUGGCAACAAAUAACUUGCAACUUC